CUGAAAGCUUUAAUGGCGAGUUUCGCCGUGUGAAGCGGCACCGAAUGUACAAGAGAGUCAACUUAUUUUUUUAAAUAGUUUAACAGCUACAGCUCUUCAGUAACAAGUCUCGAUCGUAAGCUGCUGUGGAAAAACCAAAUCUCCAAACUGUGAUGUGAAGCUUCAAGAAGUCAGUGGAUCACAGAGCUGGUUGCCAGAAGUGCGUAAUGAAAGCAGCUACACUGUGGUGGAGUUUAUUCCGUUUCACACUGUGAUGUAGCGCACACACACACACACACACACACACACAAAAACAAACACAUACACACUUUGGUCACUGUUUUCUUUUUUCUUUUUCAUAAGCUUAGUGAUUGCGGUUAUAGUCUGCACGCUAACGCUAUAACUGCCAAUCGCGGUUAUAGUCUGCACGCUAACGCUUCUCACACACGUCUAAGGUGUACAGCUCCAUCUUCCGCUUCUCAUUCUCAGAGUGUGACCUUCUGCACUAAAAUUCUCACACGAGUUUUUCUCUACAUGAUCAAACUAAACCUUUGUCCAUGUUUCUCAUAUGUAGCUGCUGCUGCUGAUAGUGUAAUGUUUCAGAAGGGAAGAUGGCUGCAGCUUUACUGCACAUCUUCUCUUGCUGUCUUUGUAACUGUUUAACACCAGGCCAUAAUGCCAUUGCAGAUCAAAUGUUUACUGAAUGAAGCGUGUGUUCUUUCAAGCAAAGGGUCACUUUCAUUUGUGACAUUUGGCAGGUGCCCUUAUCCAGAGCGACUUACAGUUAUCUCAUUUAUACAACUGAGCAGUUGAGGGUUAAGGGCCUUGCUCAAGGGCCCAGCAGUGGCAGCUUGGUGGUUGAGCAAACUCUCAACUCUUGGUGGUUGAGCAAACUCUCAACCUUCCGAUCAGAAGUCCAAAAUCUUAACCACUGAGCUACCACUUCCCACUUUCAAACCUGUACCUGUGUCACUGUGUCUUAUUUUAUUCUUCUGUAAGGAAUAACACACUCUGUGUGGUGCUGUUAUAGGGUAUUAAUCAGUUUUAAUUAAUUAGUUUGGUGUGCUGAAGCUUGUACAGACACACAUUCACACACUCAUUCACAUCUAGGGCCAGUUUAUCUCAGCCAGUCCACCUACAGACAUGUUUUUUCCACUCGUCCUCUAGUCUGUGAACAGAGGCAGGAAAAAAGAAAGGAACGCAGGAGUGUGCGUAUAAAACAGUGUAGCAGUGACUCCCCUGGUGUUUGUGGACUGGACUAAUAAAAGAUUUAAAAAAGAAAAAAGAGUGAGUGUGUGUUGUUCAACUAGGGGGCAAACUGGAGCAUUAAAUUCAGAGCUGUAAACUCAGCUACUGACAGAAUGUGCUAAUGAUGUAAUCCUUCAUUAACAAACUAAACAUUUAACCCUGUAACUGUGUCUCUUUCUAAAAGAACUAAAUUAGGGGUUUCACAGCAACCAGACACCAUAAAGCCAUCAUUUAGUAAUGAACUGCAGUGUGUUCAUGUGUUGUGUAGGAGAUAGAGUGUGUUCAGCUCAGUGUGUGGAUUCAGAAUGUAUCUCUCAGAUAAAUGCAGAUAAAUGAACACAUUUAAGAGGAGCUGUUGAUGUCUUAUUGCUCACUAAAAUGAUUUUUUUUUGUCCGGCCCACUCGACAUUAGACUAAGUGUAACGUGAGCCGUUACCUAAAAUGAGUUCGACACCCCGACCCUAACCAAUCCCCUAUACCAGAGAAACUAAACUGAAUGGAUUUAUAAUUGUUUAUCACUAAAUAAAUUCACUGUUUUUGUGAAAUCUCACCUAAAUGGUUUGGGGAUUUGAGAAGAUGUUUUUCUACAAAUAUAAUAUGAUUUCUAAUCUUUUCAUCAGGAAGAGAUGAAAAAAAACUUGUGGUCAGAGUGAGUUGAACUGCCACUUCCCCUUCACUCCUGUAGCUCUAAAUUUCUUCUUGUUUGAAGCUUCCUUACUGACAAUUUACAGUUUGUGACCAGAGAUCAAGUUUCAUCAUGAAGAUCCUCCACAUUCACUUCUAUCUACUUGUGUGCUGUGGAGCUGCAGAAAGUUUCACAGAGAAGUCGGUAGAUUUGGGACAAAAUGUGACUGUAAAGUGUGAGGUGUCUGUAAGAGAUGUGCACUGGUUCCUGAUGAAGCCGUCAGAACCUCCACUGUUUAUAUUACGCUCUUUCUCAAGCAGAUCCCUGAGGACAGAUUACAGUAACCCGGCUUUCAGCAAGACUUUCUCACUGCAAUUUAACAGCAGUUUAUUUAUACACAAUAUCAGUACUAAUGAAUUAGGAGUGUAUUAUUGUAUUCAACCUGGUUCACCUCCCAACAUCAGCAGUGGAAUCAGACUUUACACCCAGAAUCACUCAGCUGUGAAUCAGACAUGGAAGAUUGAAGUGCUUCAGAAUCAGACAGCUGGUAAAGAUGAAGAGAUCAGACUCUGGAGAAAUCUCUUCAUUAUAUCGGGAAUGAUGAACUGUGUUGUGGUCGUUGCAGUCACAGUCUCGAUCGUAAGCUGCUGUGGAAAAACCAAAUCUCCAAACUGUGAUGUGAAGCUUCAAGAAGUCAAUGGGUCACAGAGUUGGUUACCAAAAGCGCAUAAUGAAAGCAGCUACACUGUGGUGGAGUUUAUUCCGUUUCACACUGUGAUAUAACACACACACACACACACACACACACACACACACACACACACACACACACACUGCUCAUUGUGGGGUUUUUUUUCAUAAGCUGUGCUACACAAUUGCGGUUAUAGUCUGCAACACGUCUCACACACGUCUAAGGUGUACAGCUCCAUCUUCCGCUUCUCAUUCUCAGAGUGUGACCUUCUGCAGUAAAAUUCUCACACGAGUUUAUAAUCACAAUCAGUGACCUGCAGUUGAUUAUUUUCCUGUAACAACACAUCCCCAAGUGUUUUAUUCCUCUUAUACCCCAGCAGUUUUUUCAUAUCUAGCCCCAUUACACACACCCACAAACUUACCUUUAAAUGCAGCAGUGUAAUAUCUCAAACCAAACCAACACAAAUAAACGUAAAUGUCUUUAUUUAAUUUUUUUUAUAUGGGGACCAAAUUUACAGUGGCUCCCCUGGGUCUCGCAAAAAAGUGUCCUAUUUCUCAUGAUUUUUACUGCCCCUUGCUGGGCAUUUGUGGUAGUUUGACCAAGAGUUAAAUUUGUAUUACACAUUGUUAAUGCAGUCCUAGCAUAUCUUAAACAUUUCCUUGCACUUUCAUGUAAAACUAAAAUAUUACUAAACAUAAAAAAUUUAAUAAUGAUUUAAUAAAUCAUUUAUGACUAUGAUUUAGGUCUCUUUUCAAAUUUUCAUACAAAUGUUACAUUUGUUUAAUAAUCACCAAUGUAAUGUAAAAGUUAAUAUAAAAUUGUCUUGAAACUGUCUUGAAUCUUUCUUGUGAAAUCUCAUUUUAAUGGUGUGGGUGUGCAAGAAAACAUAUGACAGAUGAGGAGUAAAAACACUCUCACACACACACACACACACACACACAUUGUGGUCAGAGCAAGAUUAGCUCCCUCUUCCGUAUACUCCAGCGUCUGAAGCUCAACUGAAGUGUUUCCUGACUGAGGCAGCUUAGCCUCAGAGUGUUUAGUGCUUGUGCACGGCGUUCAGAAUUCAGCAUGAAGGUAGUAAAACUUCAUUUCUAUCUACUUGUGUGCUGUGGAGCUGCAGAAAGUUUCACAGAGAACUUGGUAGAUUUGGGACAAAAUUUGACUUUAAAGUGUGAGGUAUCUGUAAAAGAUGUGUACUGGUUCCUGAUGAAGCCGUCAGAACCUCCACUGUUACGCUCUUUCUCAAGCCAAUCCACAAGGGCAGAAUACAGUAACAAGACCUUCAACAAGACUUUCUCACUGCAAUAUAACGGCAGUUUAUUUAUACACAAUAUCAGUACUAAUGAAUUAGGAGUGUAUUAUUGUAUUCAACCUGGUUCAUCUCCCAACAUCAGCAGCGGAAUCAGACUUUACAUCCAGAAUCACUCAGCUGAGAAUCAGGCGUGUGAAGUUGAACAGCGGCCGAAUCAGACAGCAGAUAAAUGUGAAGACGCUGGACUCUGGCGAAGUCUCUUCAUCAUACUUGGAAUAAUAAACUGUCUUGUUGUAGUUGUUGUCACAGGUUUUAGAGUUCGUCACUGCAAAAGAACUACAAAAACUCAAGCACGACCUCCAGACCCUGGUUUGCAGCCACCUCAGGACAACACCGGCCCUAUGUAUGCCGAGGGGAGUAAUCUCAACAGCACAUACGCUCUUCUGCAGCUACCGAACCCGUGACCCGGAACGACUCCAUAGCUGCAGGUUCAAACCCCAUCACAUGGACUUCAUAUUAUGUUUCAUCAUAUCCAUAAAGAAACCUCAUUUCUUCAGCUACUGAUUUGUGAUGGAUGAUUAAUUUUGAAAUAAGAUGAAUUGAUUCAUCUUGGUUCCACAAACAGAUCUUUUUUUAAAGCCCAAUCUUUAUAAGCUAAUGUGUAUUUCUAGAUGCUGUUUAAGUUGUGAAUCAAAUUUCACAUUGUAAGAGUCACUUAAAGACAUGAUUUGAAAGAAUCAAAUCACUGAACUGAGUCACUGGACUGAAGUGAGUCAUGUUUCAAACGCUGAAAAAUGUCUACUCAUUUACUAGAACGUCAGCCAUUUUAAGAAACAUUUAAAAAGCAGAAGAAAAGCAUACAAUUUGCUCUAACAAGACUUUCAUUAUAUGUUGUCUCGCUGGCAGAGACAUUCCCAUAAUGCACUGACAGUGUUUCAGUUUAAAUACUAAGGUUAGUUUACAUGUGUAACAUUAAAAUAACUAUGCAAUGAAAUAAAGUGUAAAAUGA